rnacentral:rRNA from 1 species
GACGAGCGCUGGCGGCGUGCUUAACACAUGCAAGUCGAACGGAAAGGCCCUGCUUUUGUGGGGUGCUCGAGUGGCGAACGGGUGAGUAACACGUGAGUAACCUGCCCUUGACUUUGGGAUAACUUCAGGAAACUGGGGCUAAUACCGGAUAGGAGCUCCUGCUGCAUGGUGGGGGUUGGAAAGUUUCGGCGGUUGGGGAUGGACUCGCGGCUUACCAGCUUGUUGGUGGGGUAGUGGCUUACCAAGGCUUCGACGGGUAGCCGGCCUGAGAGGGUGACCGGCGACAAUGGGACUGAGAGACGGAGCAGACGCGUACGGGAGGCAGCGGUGGAGAAUAUUACACAAUGGGGGGAAGCCUGAUGCGGCAACGCCGCGUGCGGGAUGACGGCCUUCGGGUUGUAAACCGCUUUCGCCUGUGACGAAGCGUGAGUGACGGUAAUGGGUAAAGAAGCACCGGCUAACUACGUG